rnacentral:lncRNA from 1 species
CCACCUGUAACCUGUUGAGCAGUCCUCUCUGCUUUUUAGCUGAGUGAAGAUGCUUCUCUGCUAGCUGCUACUCUCAAUCAUUUGAAGCAGUUCUUUUACUGAAAUCAAAGACUCUUAGUUUCUUGCCUACAGAGCUACUUAGAUUUGUUUUCUUGGCUAGGCUAUGAGGCACCAAUAACACUCUCAAGACUGUUCUCCCUUUCAAGUUCUAAUAAGGGAGAUGACAUGCAGUAUCUCGGUACAUUACAAGAUAUAUACAUAAUAUAUUAAGUGACUCAACUUUUUGAGUACCAUUUCUACCCUUUCCAUUAUGGUGAACCGCACUGUAAAAGGACACUGAGAGUGUGUGUGGCGUGUGCAUUGCCUGACAGGAUGUAGCAGAAGAUCGGAUGGAAUCUGCUUGAAAAAUGGUCACGGAUUGUUUAUUCAGAAACAAAACAAAACAAAAUAUCCUAGGACACACAGCCAGAAGAGACAUUUGAAAUCCUCUAGAUCAGAGGUGUUAAACAUUGAGCUGCAGCCUACAUGUAUCCUACAAGAAGGACCAGAAUUUCAAGUAUGCUGUAUACAACCCAACACCAAUUUCAAUAUUGGUUCUAUGGAGAAAGGAUUUGUUCUGGACAAUAUACAAACUUUUGAAGCACAGGCUUUUUGUAACUUGAGGAUUGCCAAUAGUUGCUAUUUCAAGAUUCAGUUGAAUUAUAGUAAAAAUACUUUGUGUACCUUAAAUGGCUAAGUUGCCUCUUUCCUACAUCCACACUCCUCAAACUGGAACAUGGUACUCAAAAACUCUGGGCCUAUCCAACUUCAAGCUAUA